AGCACUUAACCUUAUAGAACGAAAGGAGAGCCACAGGAAUGAGUGGAUGUCUUGUUUAUUGCCACAAUUCAAGUGCCAACCUGACACUUUCUCUAUCCAAUUCAGAACUCACCAUUCCUACCAUU